GCUUUCCUGGAGCUCUGCUGGUAGAGAAUUGCGCUAACAAUGCAAUGUUUGUGGGUUCAAAUCUCAGGGAAAGCA